UACGGGGGGGGCAAGCGUUGUUCGGAAUUACUGGGCGUAAAGGCUCGUAGGCGGCCAACUAAGUCGGAUGUGAAAUCCCCCAGGCUCAACCUGGGAACUGCAUCCGAUACUGGAUGGCUUGAAUUCGGGAGAGGGAUGCAGAAUUCCAGGUGUAGCGGUGAAAUGCGUAGAUAUCUGGAGGAAUACCGGUGGCGAAGGCGGCAUCCUGGACCGACAUUGACGCUGAGGAGCGAAAGCUAGGGGAGCAAACGGG
rnacentral:rRNA from 1 species